rnacentral:lncRNA from 1 species
GACCACACUUUGAGUAGCAAGGGUGUAGAGCUUCGCACAUUUACGUGGAAGCCUCCAAUAGCUGUGUGAGGAAAUAGAGGCUGAGAGAAUUUAUCUGAUACUGUCAGGCAGCAUUUUUUCUUACUGUGCUUCAGUUGCACUCCUCUUAUAAAUAAUCACCUUCUUAUUUAUCUCUAUUUACUAUUUUUGUAUUGUUGGUUUUCACGUAGUAGCAACUCCUGCCCUUUCCUUUAGGAAUGUUGUAUCUUCUUUGUAACUUCUUUUCAAAGUGGAAAUAUUCAAGUAAACCACAACUCAUGUUAGCACUAGAUUUUACAAUCGUAUGGGUCUGGAAUUUGUUCGGUCCGUCGGAUACGACAGCCCCACUGUAUUCUGUGGAUCUGACCACAAUACAGCUUCAUGUCGACAGACUUGCAGAGCACGGCGUGUUCCAUGAACACAAGGCCAGGGAGCUGAUCUUUUCAUAGGAUCCUCUGCAGAAGGUGAGCCAAGAAAAGCCAAAGAAGAACAAUGAAUAUAGCUCCAGCUUCCCUCUAACAGGGGGAAUGUGGCUCCAAAUGGCUGCUUACAUUGAGGACCUUUGAGCUCAGAAUCAGUAAGACCUUCUUCCAAGAUUGGGCUGAUCCAGGGCACAUGGAUCUACAACAGCGUUUCUCAGCUUCUCCACUUGAUAUUUUGGGCCAUAAUGCUUUCUUGUCAGGGGCUGUCCUGUGAGUUGUAGGACAUUUGCAGCAUUCCUGGCCUCUACUUAUUAGAUGCCAGCAGCACCUCCCCCGACUCCAGUUGUGGCCAUCAAAAAUGUCUCCAGUCAUGCCAAAUCUUCCCUAGGGGGCAAAUUGUUCCCAGGAGUGUUGGAAGAACCACCUAUGGCAAGUUAGAAAAGGUCUAUGAAAUAAUUUCCACAGAAAUUCAUCCAAGAGGGCACUGAGAUGGGUCUCACACCAGGAACUGUGCCUCAUUGGUGGUUAGCCAUGCCAGGCUCCUGUGUAACCUCUUCUACGUAUACUUCUGCAGCACUUGGACAUGGCGCCUAUUUUGUUCACCACUGUAUCUCUAGGGCCCUGAACAAUACUUAGCACGUAGGAGGCCUAGAAUAAACACUGCUGAAGGAGACUGAUAUUCAGAGAUCUUAAGUAAUUCACUCAAGAUUAUUUAGCUCAAGCUAGCAAGUGUCCAAACAAAAAUUACAUUCAAGAUCUAUCUGGCUACAAAUGUAUGCUUUACUUCUCAUAUUCACUCAUGAAUAGUAUAAUUUAUUUAAUGCACCCUCCUUACCGUUGUUAGCAAAGAAAAUUAUGGUGCACAUCAAGCAAUACACAAAAGCUCUGACUAAAAUAUGAUGUGAUAUUCAAUACAUAUAAACAUUGAUGCAACUUUAUGUAGUAUAAUAACACCAACACUAGUGAACUCAUUGUUUAGAUUAAAAGCCAGAACGCUAUUGACAUCAUUGCCUGAUGUGUAUAUUCCCUGAAAAUUCCAUUCUUCUACCCUACCUCCUUUUCACAAGUAACUGAUGUAUUAUACCCUUUCCUUCUAAAGCAAAAUUUCCACAUACGUAGUCCCUAAAUAAACAGCUGUUUGUAAAAUUUAUAGCAUGCAAUUUAGGCAAUUACAUAAUUAUAUAUGUGCAUAUUAUGUAUUAUAUAAUUACCUAAUAACAUGUAAUUUUCUUCAACUUGCUUUUU